AGGGCUCCAGCCCUCCAGCACUGGAGUUUGCAUUAGAAUGUAAAAGUAACCUUUGGAACUUUCUGGAACAUCCUGGUUGCUCUUUUUAGAAAUUUAUUGAAAUACCUGCGUGCGAAUCAGUAAUUCGUCAUUUGGUACUUGCGAUAUUUGGAAGGGAAGUGAAGUUCC